UCUCUUCAAGUAAUAAAGAGUUAUUCUUUGUUUGGUCGUGAAGUAAGCAACAAUUGUCGAACCAUGUAAUUCUUGUCUUGUUUUGUCUUGUGCAACUUAUUACUUUUCUCUCCUAAAUAUUCUUUCCCUUCUAUUAUCUUCACACGCUUCCUAACAAGUUUUGUGCCUCAAACAUCUUCUAUCACGUUCCAGAAUAGUCUAAGUGUCAUCCUUUUUUCUUUCAGAGUUUGACAUCUCAAAAUCAUAUAGCAAGAGUAGAAAUUGAAACUGUCAUGCAAUCUUUUUGGUGUUGGUUAAAAAACGAGAAAUA
rnacentral:lncRNA from 1 species